rnacentral:rRNA from 1 species
UACAGAGGUGGCAAGCGUUGUUCGGAAUUACUGGGCGUAAAGGGCGCGUAGGCGGUCUUGUCAGUCCCUUGUGAAAUCCCCCGGCUCAACUGGGGAACUGCACGGGAAACAGCAGGGCUUGAGUUCGGGAGAGGGAAGCGGAAUUCCGGGUGUAGCGGUGAAAUGCGCAGAUAUCGGGAGGAACACCAAUGGCGAAGGCAGCUUGCUGGGACGGUACUGACGCUGAGGCGCGAAAGCGUGGGGAGCAAACAGG